rnacentral:lncRNA from 1 species
UCGAUAUGAAAUUUGCCUAAGAGAUGUUUGGUGAUUGACCCACUCUCCAAAUGCAACGCCCACGCCACGGCUAUUUAGCUGGCGAUAGGGAGUUCCCACCUGUCCAGACUUAAGAGAAGCAAGAAAAGAAAGAAGUGAAACCUGGCAAAUUGGAAGGAACCAUGCUAGCUGUGUAGCCAAAGCCCUGCCACGAUCACUUGGCUAUAAUUCUUACCAGUCAAGAGAGAGAAAAAAAAAUAUUUUGCAGGGCCCAAAUGACUACCCUGCACCUUAAUGGUUCCCACAAGCCGUAACUAAAAAGGGAUAAUUAAUGUGAUCCCAACAUUUCACAUACUAUAUGCAUAAAAAUUGUAAGAACAUGCGACAUGAACUAUAUAAGGACCCUCGUAAACUCCAUAGUUUCAUCAUUCUUGCCCUUUGCUUCAUUACACACAUUAACCCCAACAAUUACUUAAUCCAUUAACCCCCUUCUAAAUUCUCUCGUCUCUAAAUUCUUGUGAUCAAAGAUAAUGGCGCGAUUUGGUGGUUCAUUUACUCGCAUUGUGAUGGCCAUGGUGGUUGUGGCAUUGUUACGUAUUUGUGGAGUGAUGGCACAGGACAUUGCUCCAACACCAGCAAUGGACACUGGAGCUGGGCUUGAGUUGCCGCUUUCGAUGGCUGUGAUCUCUUCUUCUAUGAUAUUCUCUCUUCUUGCUCUUAUGUUGCAUUAGUUUUGCCAGUCUUGGACUCUUGGGGAUUCAGAGAGGAGAUGCAUGGAGUGAUAUUUGUGGUUGUUGGGUUUGAUUUUAUUUUUGCACUCAUUUGACAUGGUUCUUGUUUAUUUUCGAAAUGUGAUUGUAGCAAUGUAAUUGUUGUGGUUGAACAUCAUAAAUAAAGCAAUACGCUAUCUGCUAUUUUUAGAAACUAGAUGCACUCUUUGUUGUUAAGAUUAAUUUGGAGAUGAAAAAUCUAUGUUCACAUAACCGGAUUGAUUUGAUCCUUCAAAUGGAAGAAGGCUUAAUUUGAAAUAAAAAUUCGCAGCACAUUUCUUUUAAUUAAUAGUUGGACAAAUAAAUCAAUGAGAAAUAAUUUGCAUCACUCUCUUUCAGUUGCAUUGUAUUAAUUACACAACUCUACUUCGAGAAAACAAAUCCAAUUUAUAAAUUCUAGGAAAUGGUGCAUAAUAUUUUAAAAAAUAAUUUUUCAUUUAAAAAUAUAAUAAAAUAAUUUUUUUUUAUUUUUAAAGUUCACAUCAAAAUCAUCAGAAAAAACUAAAAAAUAUUAAUUUAAUACAUUUUUAAAUUAAAAUUAUUUUUAAAAAACAUCUAAAAUAGAAGAAACAAUUAUGCAAACUCCCUUUAAAUAUCAAUUAGAUUUCAUAAUUAUGCAAUAAUAGUCUAAAAAAGAUGGGAGGCCAAAUCCAUUUUCUAAGACAAGUUUGCUAGAUACGUCAAGCAUACAAUUCUAUUGAUAACCGAAGAAUCAAUUCAGACCUCAACUAAAUUAAUUUGAUAUGUUUGGUAGGUAUGUCUUAAUCGCUGAAUUUCAUGGUGUGUGGUACCGUACUUUACACAUUGGAGAAGCGCUUGUGAUGGCUAAGAAAAAAACAAACCAAGAAAUGUCAAAUUUCAGACCUCGUGAGUUGGAGAUCUCAAAUUUCGCCACUGCGCCACCUCUCAAUGAUCGAGAGUCUUCAAAUCUCCAUGCAUGAGUUUUCUUUUCUCUGUGAAAUAGUGGGAAGAUGGAUUGUUUUGAAUGGAACGUUUAUGAUUUUGAAGAAGUAUUUUCUUAAAUAUUUUAUGAUCAGAUGUAUGAUCAAUUAUGAAGAACAAUGAUAUUGAAUAAGCUGGGAUAACUUUUUUUUUUUUUAUCUAUAUAUAUAAUCCUUGGAGAAUGUUUUUGAUUGUGAAAUCAAUAAAAAGAAUCUAAUCAAAUUCACUAGUGAUAAAAGGCACACAAAAGCUAAGCUCACCUUGCUUGAGAAAAUAGAAUUAAAACCCGCCUUUCCUUAAAAAAAUAAAAUAAAAAAUUCACCUUCAACGUAAAAUGCUAAGAAUUAUUGAUUAUCACACAUUCAAAUAUCCAACUAAUGUGGUACAAUGUGGUGUGAUAUAUGUUUUAUUCUAAUCAUAAAUUUAAAAUAUUUGAUUAUUCAAUAUAUAUUAUAGUUUUGCAUAGAUUAUAUUGAAAACUUUUUUAAAAAAAUUUGGUUAAAAAUUAUUUAAAAAUUAAAAUUUUGUAAUUUUUUCAAACCACAACUAUAAAAACUAAUACCAUAACAAACACAAUAAAAAUCUAUAGAAAUUAGGGAUUUGUUUUAAAACAACUAUCCAAUAUAUUAUACACGCCACUCGAUUUUUGACCACAAUAAUUUUCCUCGCAGCCAGCCCCCAAUUAAUGGAUGUGCCGACAUGCAUGAUCUCACAGACCACCCAUACUGCUGCAACGUGUGAAACAACAAUCCGGCCGCCCCCACCGGCCGAAACUUUAGACGACAAACAACAGCUGUGAUUACUUAUCAGGUGAACGUUGCCAACCAAAAUUCUAUAAAUUGAGAGUACAAGACACCUCUUUUAGACCCCACACGCCGCACAUAACUUGCUAUAAAUUGAGCAUCAACAACCCCAAAGAUACAAUCAACACACUCUUGCUUGCUCUUUGUCUAAAACCAAGCCAAAGUUACUAAGGACGCAUAUAAAAUUAUGGCUCAGUUUAGCAUCCCCAAGGCAUUGGUGCUCAUGCUCGUGAUUGCUACAUUUGCUGCCGCCGUUUCUGCCCAGGAUAGCGAAAUGGCACCUGCACCUGCACCAGGAAUGGAUGCUGGAGCUGGGUUCUCUUUGCCUGUUUCUGGUGCCAUUGUUGGGUUCUCUCUUGUUGUUUCUCUUCUUGGCUUCUUGAAACAUUGAUGAAUCUGUUGUUUCUUCAAGUGGUGAGGGUUAAUUAAUUAUAUAUGUGUUUCGAGAAUGAUGGGUGAUGGAUCAUUUUUAUUUUCGAUUCAUUCUUUGUUUACGUUUGUUUACCAUAAAUAAAGAUUAAUGAAUGAAUUAUUACUUUGAUUUCUUGUAAUUCUUUUCCUACUCUAUUUCUUGAGCUGUAACAAAAAAAAUUUAGUCCUAACGAAAAUACUUAAAUGCACACUUUUUUUCCUUUUCCUCUUUUUUAUUUAUUUAUAUCAACGCAAUUAACAUUAAUGCAUACUCUGUUUCAUAGGAGUUGAGGGAUAUGUAUGGUGACUGAUGUGGCCAAUUUAGGCUUGAAUGGGGACUAAAUCAAACUUAUGGGAUUGGUUUUAUGCUCAUGACGAAGCAAGGAAAAUAUAAGAACUUAUUUACUUUAUAUCUUUAUCUUUCUAAUUAAACAUGUUUCUAACACUAAUCAAAGGAGAUCUCUUAUUUAUCUAAUUAAUUCCAUCAAGUGCUGCUAUGCUAAAACGGAGAGAAAUUUGUGCGUCAAAUAGCAAAGCAUCACCAAAACUGAUAACCCAUGGUAUUAGGUCUCCAUGUGAUUAGAAAUAGCUUUAAAUCCUUUAUUGCACCUUUUAAAGUUUUUUCAAUUAUUUUAGCUUUUAAUUAAUAUUUUAAUGUUUUUUAGAAUAGUUUUGAUGUGCUAAUAUUAAAAAUAAAAUUUAAAUAAAUAAAAAAUAUCAUUAUAAUAUAUUUUCAAUAAAAAAUACUUUUUAAAUAAUCACAACAAACAUAUUUUUAAAAAGAUAUUCAUAUAUAAUACUUUUAAAAAGAUAUCCAUAUCGUUUUAUGUUCCAGGAUUAUUUGGUUAGUAUGUUCAUUUGUGCUUCUGCCCCAUCGUAUCUGAAAAACAAGAAGUGAGUUAGAUUGAAAAACAAUGAAAAACAAGAAAAGGAAAUUAAGGGAAACUAAUUUGGAAAAGGAAAAACCCGGAUGGAAAUGAACAUGCAGUAUAAAAUCACACUAAUCUAUUAAGAUAUACAGGCACUCAGAUCCGCAAUGAGAGACCUCACAAAAGUUUUAUUAAUAUUACAAAUAGCACAAUAUUAACAUAUUAUUUGCCAUGUCCAUAGAAACAUUGACAUGCUAACUCCUCAUGAUCCCAAACUGAUUUAAUAAGAUCUGGGUUAUAACUCGAGUCAAACUAUAAUGACUCCGUUUAAACUAUAUUAUUUUUAUUUUUUUAUGUUUUAAAAAGAGUUUUUAUUGGUUUUCAUCUAUAUUUUUAACAGGGUUGUGGGUUGAUUUUUGAGAUCGACCAAGUCAUAUCUCAUCCAAUUUGACAUGAAACUUGACAAGAGUUAGGUCUUGGCUCGGUAAGUCACCAAGUUAACCUGUAAAAUCAAGUUAAAUGAGACCACCACAUACCACGCUGUGCAUAUAGUGUCAAAUUCACCUUCAUUGCAAAACACUAAGAAUUAUUGUUUGUUAGUCAACAUUGUAAAUAUAUUAGAAUAGUGAGUAAAAAUAUUUAGUUUAUUAUAACAAUAGCAUUCAAAACAUAAAAUAAAUUCAAGAAAUGAAAGCUUUGAGUUUAUACAAGUUUAAAUUAUCUAUAAGCAUGUAAAAUAAAAACUCGUGACAAACAUGUUUUCAAUAUAAAAUAAUAAUAGAAUUCUAGCAUUCAUAUUAAGUAUAUAAUCAAACUUGCAAUUAAUAUUAAUUCAAAAUUUUAGCAUGCAUACUAAUAAUAAAAAUAUUCAUAUUGAAACUAAAAUAAAAGAGGAUAUUUAUUUGUUAAAACACUUUAAAAUAAUGAAAUCUUUGUUGUUGUCAAUGAUAGUAAUUUGUCAUCAAAGAUUCAUUACUCCUCUCUUGUGCAAUUAAGAUAUGUCUUAUAUGUCUUCCAAGAUUCCAACAACACACCUCCAUCUUAGUUUAGAUGCACUUUUAAACAAGGUUUUUUUAACAAAAAUAAAAGAAUUCAAUUAUCUCUCAACAAAGUGAACUAAGCUUUAGAUUUGGGAGAAAACACGAAGCAUAAAAAGUGAAGGAAAACACUAAAAUUGAGGUGAUGAAAGGUGUGUAAAAUUUUAAAAAAACAUGUAGGAAACUCUUUAUUCCCCCUAAUUUUGAAAACUAAAAUGUUAAAGAAUUAAUUCUGGUAAUAAUUAUAAUUAAUUAUCACUAUUUUCAAGAUUUGAUUAGCCACCGUAAAUUAAAAAUUAAAUAUAAAUAUAGUGAUUAUAAAUCUGAAUUUUUAAGCUGAACAAAUUAUUCAGAUUUAUAGAAAAUGCUUUUAAAAUAGACUAUUAAUAUUCAUGGCCUGAACAAGAGAGAAUAAUAGGUUGAAGUAAAUAAUUUUUCAUAGACCAAACCCAAAUUUAAAAUUUGAUUGGUAAAAAAUAAUAUUUUACGAUCCAAAACAUUAUUUAAACCCAAACCCGAGCUGUGCAUGUAGAUUUAAGUCUAAAGUUCAUUUUACUUGGUGGAAGCUUUCCAACUUUUCAUUUUAUAAAUAAAAAGGAAGUGUUUUUUUUUUUUUUCAAUAUGUGAUAAAUUCUUUUAAAGUGAUUUGAUUUUCACCAAAGACAAGUCAAUCUAAGAUUAUUUGAGAUUAAUGUUAUAUUCACCUAUAAUUUUUCAUAUUAAAUAGCCUAUAUUAAAUAUUAAAUUUUAAUAAAAUUUUAAUUCAAAAAAUAAAUAGACUGAUUUUUUAAUUUGAUCUUAAAUACACUCCUUAAUCAUAGUUUAACAAAUUUUACAAGAAAACGCAAAUUCAUUAGAGAUUGUUAAAAUAUAUUUUCCUAUAAAAUUUCUGGACCAACACAAAAUAUGGAAUGACAACCCCCACAUGACCUGGAAGUGCACUGUGCUUUUGGAUCCUUAACCUUGCCUCAAGACAUGGGUUGGAACUUUGAACUUUGAAGUCAAGUCACCCAUGCCCUAAGUCCUGAGCCUACCGACGUGGUUCUAGCAAAGAAAGACGUUCCAUCUGCUACAACGUGUAAGACAACAAGGCGGCGCCCCCACCGCCCGGAACUUGUCAGACUACUUAUCAAACCCACAUGUCCAGUCUGUAAUCUGUAUAACUUUCACACACGUAAAAGCAGAUAUUUUAGAACUGUUUGGAUGGGUUGAAUUAUUCUUUAAUCCUGAGAUUUUGAGCCUGAUUAUAACUUAGUCCUUCAUAUAUUUCAAACCCAAUAACUUAGUCUUUUCAAUCUUCUUGACAUAUGACAUAUUAAAUUUCUUUUUCUAGUUUUGUACCUAAAUCCCAAAUGCAUAUCAUAUUAAAAUAAAUAAAAUAAAAUCAAAAUGUACCUCUCUAGGCAUUUAUAUUUUUUUAAAAAGGGUUAAUUGAUUGAAAAGACUCAAUGCUUUGAUAUUUUCUCUCACAUGUUUUUCCUAUUUUUAGACAAAAAUACCCUUUAGACCACCAAAAGAAAAAUCAACUUUCUAUACAUACAAGACUUGAAAAAAUAGAAAAUAAAAAAUUUGAAGAACCUAUAGUAAAGACUCGAAAUAUCUUAAGAAAUUUAAAAUAUUCCUAAAAAAUAUAAAAAAAAAUUAGUAACAUAUAAAAAUCUUGAAAACUCAUGUCUUUCAAACCCAUCUCGUUUCCAUAAACAUAUUUUAUUUAUGAGGUUUUAUUAACAUUGUUUUUUCAUCUCUAGAUUUUACAAGUUAUUGUUAUUAUUUCUAGGUUUUCAAUAUUUUCAAUAUUUUUUUAUUUUUGAAGUUAUAUUUUUUUAUUUUUUUAGGAAUUUCAAAAUUAAUUCCCCUCACAAUAUAUAAUUAUAGUUGUAGGUUAUUUGAGUCCGGAAAGUGUCGAAAGAGCAUAUGAGAGAGAAUAUUUAUUUAUUAGUGAAUGAUUCUUAAAAGAGCAUACGAAAGAAUAUACCGAAUAUAUAAUUUAUAAGGAUAGGUGGUUCAAUUAUUCCUGAAAAUAUACCAAGGAUUUAGUGAAAUUCGAAAAAAAAAAGAUUUAAAUAAAAUAGUCGAGAAAUGUCAAAAGACAGAGUAUGGACUUGCAAACAAAAAGACCUAAAUUAUAAUUAGGUUCAAAACUAGGGACUAAAUAAUAAUUUAAUCUUACCUUUAAUUAGGUGAACGUUGCCAGCCUAUAUUCUAAAAUUUUAUAGCCGUUGUAAAAUCACAAAUAGUAGAAGACACCCCUCUAUAAGAUCACCCUCUUCUUACAACCCUCAGAGUCUCAGACACAGCUUUUGUCUAAAACCAGAACCAAAGUUGCAUAGAAAAAUACGAAAGCAACUAAUCUCUCUUGUUUCUCUGAUUUAUUUAUUACUUUUAUUAUCAAUGGCUGCUCAGGUUAUUGUCUCCAAGACAUUCUUGCUUGUCCUUGUGAUUGCUGCCUUCGCUGUUGCUUCUGCCCAAGAUAGUGAAUCAAUGGCUCCUGCACCUGCACCAGGAAUGGAUGCUGGAGCUGCUGGGUUCUCUUCACCAGUUUCUGGAGCCAUUGUUGGGCUCUCUCUUAUUGUUUCUCUUCUUGGUUUCUUGAAACAUUGAUUAAUCUGUUGUUUCACUUGAUUUUUCAAGCUGGGAGGAGUUUUGGUUGAUUAAAUUAAUAUUUGUCGUGAGAGAGAGAGAGAGAGAGAGAGAAAGGUGAUGGAAAAUUGUUGUAUAUUGGAUUCAUUCUUUGUUAUUAAUUAUUUGUUUACUACAUACAAAAUUAAUGAAGUAAUUACUCUGAUUUUUUAUCCUUUUUUUUAUAAUAACUUUAUUUACUACAUCCAAAAUUAAUGAAAUAAAUAAAUUAUCCUCCUUUAAAUUAAAAAUUUUACUUGGCUACAGAUAAUUUGCUGAAUCA